CCUACGGGAGGCAGCAGUAGGGAAUCUUCCACAAUGGACGAAAGUCUGAUGGAGCAACGCCGCGUGAGUGAAGAAGGUUUUCGGCUCGUAAAGCUCUGUUGGUAGUGAAGAAAGAUAGGGUUAGUAACUGGCCUUUAUUUGACGGUACUUACUUAGAAAGUCCCGGCUAACUACGUGCCAGCAUCCGCGGUAAUACGUAGGUGGCAAGCGUUGUCCGGAUUUAUUGGGCGGAAAGCGAGUGCAGGCGGGUUAAUAAGUCUGAUGUGAAAGCCUACGGCUCAACCGGAGAAUUGCAUCAGAAACUGUUGAACUUGAGUGCGGAAGAGGAGAGUGGAACUCCAGGUGUAGGGGUGGAAUGCGUAGAGAUAUGGAAGAAUACCAGUGGCGAAGGCGGCUCGCUGGGAUGCAACUGACGCUGAGGCUCGAAAGCAUGGGUAGCGAACAGGAUUAGAUACCCCAGUAGUC
rnacentral:rRNA from 1 species